rnacentral:lncRNA from 1 species
UUCCUUUUCCUUUGUGGAUUAGGGUCGAUUCUUGAGUGUUUUCAGCAAUUAAAUCUGGGAAACCGUGUAAUGCUAUAGAUGCAUAUAGUAGGGUACUCUUCUCUGUUGAUUAUGUAUGAAUCUUAGUGAUUCUAUGAGGACAGUUCGGUUUUGGUGAUCUAUGUGAUCCAGAUUUUAAUUCCUUAGUGGAGUGAGGUGUAAAUUGUGCCUUAUUUUAAAGAUAAGUCUUGG